GACGAACGCUGGCGGCGUGCCUAACACAUGCAAGUCGAGCGAAGUGAGUACUACGGUACGAACUUAGCGGCGGACGGGUGGGUAACGCGUGGACAAUCUACCCUGUAGACUGGGAUAACACCUCGAAAGGGGUGCUAAUACCGGAUAAUGUCGAGAAGCGGCAUCGCUUUUCGAAGAAAGGAGAGAAUCCGCUAUAGGAGGAGUCCGCGUCCCAUUAGCUAGUUGGUGAGGGUAACGGCCCACCAAGGCGACGAUGGGUAGCCGGCCUGAGAGGGUGAACGGCCACACUGGAACUGAGACACGGUCCAGACUCCUACGGGAGGCAGCAGUGGGGAAUAUUGUGCAAUGGGGGAAACCCUGACACAGCAACGCCGCGUGAGCGAAGAAGGCCUUCGGGCUGUAAAGCUCAAUAGUAUGGGAAGAUAAUGACGGUACCAUACGAAAGCCCCGGCUAACUACGUGCCAGCAGCCGCAGUAAGAC
rnacentral:rRNA from 1 species